rnacentral:rRNA from 1 species
UGCAGUCGAGCGAGCGGAACCACAGAUUUACUUCGGUAAUGACGUUGGGAAAGCGAGCGGCGGAUGGGUGAGUAACACGUGGGGAACCUGCCCCUAAGUCUGGGAUACCAUUUGGAAACAGGUGCUAAUACCGGAUAAUAAAGCAGAUCGCAUGAUCAGCUUUUGAAAGGCGGCGUAAGCUGUCGCUAAGGGAUGGCCCCGCGGUGCAUUAGCUAGUUGGUAAGGUAACGGCUUACCAAGGCGACGAUGUAUAGCCGAGUUGAGAGACUGAUCGGCCACAUUGGGACUGAGACACGGCCCAAACUCCUACGGGAGGCAGCAGUAGGGAAUCUUCCACAAUGGACGCAAGUCUGAUGGAGCAACGCCGCGUGAGUGAAGAAGGUUUUCGGAUCGUAAAGCUCUGUUGUUGGUGAAGAAGGAUAGAGGUAGUAACUGGCCUUUAUUUGACGGUAAUCAACCAGAAAGUCACGGCUAACUACGUGCCAGCAGCCGCGGUAAUACGUAGGUGGCAAGCGUUGUCCGGAUUUAUUGGGCGUAAAGCGAGCGCAGGCGGAAAAAUAAGUCUAAUGUGAAAGCCCUCGGCUUAACCGAGGAACUGCAUCGGAAACUGUUUUUCUUGAGUGCAGAAGAGGAGAGUGGAACUCCAUGUGUAGCGGUGGAAUGCGUAGAUAUAUGGAAGAACACCAGUGGCGAAGGCGGCUCUCUGGUCUGCAACUGACGCUGAGGCUCGAAAGCAUGGGUAGCGAACAGGAUUAGAUACCCUGGUAGUCCAUGCCGUAAACGAUGAGUGCUAA